rnacentral:tRNA from 1 species
CCCAUCCUGGCUCAGUCAGUAGAGCAUGAGACUCUUUAUCUCAGGGUUGUGGGUUCAAGCCCCACAUUGGGA